rnacentral:miRNA from 1 species
CGGGAAAUUUAGUAAAAGACAAAAGAUUUCUUUGUCUUCUAAUUUUCCCUCAUCAAGCAUGCAGGGGCGAAUUAGAAGACAAAGAAAUCUUUUGUUUUCAACUACAUUUCCCG